GAGUUUGUAUCGUGGCUCAGAUUGAACGCUGGCGGCAGGCCUAACACAUGCAAGUCGAGCGGAUGACGGGGAGCUUGCUCCUUGAUUCAGCGGCGGACGGGUGAGUAAUGCCUAGGAAUCUGCCGUGGUAGUGGGGGACAACGUUUCGAAAGGAACGCUAAUACCGCAUACGUCCGUACGGGAGGAAAGCAGGGGACCUUCGGGCCUUGCGCUAUCAGAUGAGCCUAGGUCGGAUUAGCUAGGUUAGGUGGGGUGAUGGCCUACCAAGGCUUCGACGGGUAGCCGGCCUGAGAGGGUGACCGGCCACACUGGGACUGAGACACGGCCCAGACUCCUACGGGAGACAGCAGGUGGGGAAUAUUGGACGAAUGGGCGAAAGCCUGAUCCAGCAACGCCGCG
rnacentral:rRNA from 1 species